rnacentral:rRNA from 1 species
AUUGAACGCUGGCGGCAGGCCUAACACAUGCAAGUCGAACGGUAACAGGAAGCAGCUUGCUGCUUCGCUGACGAGUGGCGGACGGGUGAGUAAUGUCUGGGAAACUGCCUGAUGGAGGGGGGAUAACUACUGGAAACGGUAGCUAAUACCGCAUAACGUCGCAAGACCAAAGAGGGGGACCUUCGGGCCUCUUGCCAUCAGAUGUGCCCAGAUGGGAUUAGCUAGUAGGUGGGGUAACGGCUCACCUAGGCGACGAUCCCUAGCUGGUCUGAGAGGAUGGCCAGCCACACUGGAACUGAGACACGGUCCAGACUCCUACGGGAGGCAGCAGUGGGGAAUAUUGCACAAUGGGCGCAAGCCUGAUGCAGCCAUGCCGCGUGUAUGAAGAAGGCCUUCGGGUUGUAAAGUACUUUCAGCGGGGAGGAAGGCGAUGUGGUUAAUAACCGCGUCGAUUGACGUUACCCGCAGAAGAAGCACCGGCUAACUCCGUGCCAGCCGCCGCCGUAA